rnacentral:tRNA from 1 species
AGUCUCGGCUUCGUGAUCGCGAGACAUCUCUCCUAAAGAGGUGUGACCCUCCGAAGGCAGAGGUCGUGAGUUCGAAUCUCGCCGGGUGCGCCA